rnacentral:tRNA from 1 species
GGGGAUGUAAGCUCAAUGAUAGAGCGUUCGCUUAGCAUGCAAAAGGCCCCGGGUUCGAUCCCCAGCAUCUCCA